GAGGGUAUAGCCCAGUGGUAGAGCAUGUGCUUAGCAUGCACACGGUCCUGGGUUCAACCCCCUAGUACCUCCA
rfam:Camelus ferus unplaced genomic scaffold scaffold128, whole genome shotgun sequence.